rnacentral:rRNA from 1 species
GACGAACGCUGGCGGCGUGCCUAAUACAUGCAAGUAGAACGCUGAAGGAGGAGCUUGCUUCUCCGGAUGAGUUGCGAACGGGUGAGUAACGCGUAGGUAACCUGCCUGGUAGCGGGGGAUAACUAUUGGAAACGAUAGCUAAUACCGCAUAAGAGUAGAUGUUGCAUGACAUUUGCUUAAAAGGUGCAAUUGCAUCACUACCAGAUGGACCUGCGUUGUAUUAGCUAGUUGGUGGGGUAACGGCUCACCAAGGCGACGAUACAUAGCCGACCUGAGAGGGUGAUCGGCCACACUGGGACUGAGACACGGCCCAGACUCCUACGGGAGGCAGCAGUAGGGAAUCUUCGGCAAUGGACGGAAGUCUGACCGAGCAACGCCGCGUGAGUGAAGAAGGUUUUCGGAUCGUAAAGCUCUGUUGUAAGAGAAGAACGAGUGUGAGAGCGGAAAGUUCACAC